AAUACAAAAUUAGCCGGGUGUGGUGGCGCACACCUGUAAUCCCAGCUACUCAGGAGGCUAAGGCCAAGAGAAUCGCUUGAACCCGGAAGGCGGAGGUUGCGGUGAGCCGAGAUCGCGCCGUUGCACUCCAGCCUGGGUGACAGAGCAAAACUACGUCUCAAAAACAAACUCCCAUUUAUCCUCUACCCCUUUAACAAAUGCAUGUCUCUCUUUUAUGCACUUUCAAAUGUGUGUGCCGACGCUAAAAAAAAAAAAAAACCCCACCCUGCAGGCUGAGACCCCUGUGGUACGCGCGUCCCCACUGUCUUGAGCACCGGCUGGCGAAGGUGUCUGCAGCGGCGUCUCUGGCCGACAGGGGGCAGCACGGCGCCAGCGUCCUCGCCCAGCGCACUGGCUGCCCGGGCCGGCCCACCGCGUGGUCUGUGGAAUUUGGGGAUGGGAGGUGCUUUUCUUUCUUCUCUUUCUUUCUCUUUUUUCUUUUUUCCUUUCUUUUCUUUCCUUCCUUCCUCCCUCCCUUCUUUCCUUCCUCUCUCCCUCCCUCCCUUCUUUCCUUCCUUCCUUCCUCCCUCCCUCCCUCUUUCUUUUUUAUAACGUUUUUCCUUGGGUCCCUGCUUCCAAACUGUGGGUUAUUUUCUAAUGUCUUAAAGCAAACUAAGCCACGCCUUCACGGAGUCUCUGCACAUAGUACAUGAGCACAGGUGCAGUGUCCUUUCGCCGCCAUCCUCUAAUGACAACGCUUUGUUGAGAAAACGAGGGCGUUAGAGAAAGGAAGAGUGAAGGACAGAGGGCUCUGCUGCCUGGCUGGGAAGGUCUCAGUCACAGCCUGUGAGACGGCCGGCGGGACAUUGUUCAUCCUCAUUCAUUCUUGGAGAAAAAGAGAAACUCAUUGUUUAAAGCAGCUUAUUUAAGAAAUGUUGGUAUUUUCCCCCUAAAAUGUUUGUAUGCUUAAAUGACCUUGAACUGGCCAAGGUACAGCACAGACCCCGCUACUCCCCCCUUGCCCCAGCUUCUUAAAAUACAGCAGGCUCUACUGCACCUAUCACUGUUUCACAGGGUAAAAAUAAAAGCAUUGUCAGGAGCAUUGUUAUGGGAUUAAAGUCUCUCGUUCUGAAAAUAGGUAUGUUCGUUUUGCUUUGAUAGUUAUUUUCCCCUUACUGCCUGGGUUUUACUUUAGCAUUCUUAGAGUAACCAGGGAUGAUGAUAAUAUUUCAUUCCAUCAGCGCCUCUUGCAAUGCUCCUCACCUGAAUAAAAUGCAUGUGCCCUAAUGCCAACAGAAUGAUUUGGGCAAAUUCAGGAAGUUCCCCACAUGCCAUGAAGUGAAAUUCCUCAUGGUGUCUGUCUUCCAGAAGUGACACAUGAAAAACUGGCAAUGAGCACACUGCUCACUAAAUAAGAGGCCAAAGAGAAAAGAAUCUACCGGAAACUCUUCCGGAAUUAAAGAGUCCAGGCUCAUGUUGUGAUAGUGAUUAUUCCUCAUAACCAGUGUUGUGGCGACAACUGACUCACUGGCGGUCGGGUGGACUCCCCCCUUGGUGCGCACAGGCGCCUGCCCCAAGGACAGACACUUCAAAGAUGGCUCUGAACCCAGAUUCUGCAGCUUCCCCCGGGCGGAGAGUUAAGCCACCCCGUGGGCAUGAGUCGUGUUUUUCCUUUGAAGAGAUGUUUCCCAGCUGCAAUGAAUGUGUGGCAUUUGCCAUGACAAAAUAAAACCCUUC
rnacentral:lncRNA from 1 species